GGCAGUUUGCGUCACCUUGGAAACCAAAGAUGCACCAGUAUGCACGGUUGUGGAAGUAGCUGAAGCAUUUGAAUCAGGACUUACAUUGACCAGCCUCCCUGUGGUAUCAAGUGCGUUUGUACCAUCAACAACAGUACAGCAGCCAUCCAUCAAUUGCUACAUCAGAGCUUGCCCUAGUACCCUCCACAUCACAGCCAUCAACAGAGCAGGCAGCUGAACAACCUGAUAGUGAAAGGCCCCAAACAACUGUAAAUGCAACUGAAAUCCAUUCAAGGACUAAAGUUACACACAAGUCAAGAAAAUCUGAAAGGGAAGCUCAGCCAGGCGUGACUGCCAUCCUUGCUAGUGAAAAGGAAAGGACUGGAAUACUGAAGGUCCUCCUUGAAGUACAAAGAAAA